rnacentral:rRNA from 1 species
AUGGAGCAACGCCGCGUGAGUGAAGAAGGGUUUCGGCUCGUAAAGCUCUGUUGUUAAAGAAGAACGUGGGUAAGAGUAACUGUUUACCCAGUGACGGUAUUUAACCAGAAAGCCACGGCUAACUACGUGCCAGCAGCCGCGGUAAUACGUAGGUGGCAAGCGUUAUCCGGAUUUAUUGGGCGUAAAGCGAGCGCAGGCGGUCUUUUAAGUCUAAUGUGAAAGCCUUCGGCUCAACCGAAGAAGUGCAUUGGAAACUGGGAGACUUGAGUGCAGAAGAGGACAGUGGAACUCCAUGUGUAGCGGUGAAAUGCGUAGAUAUAUGGAAGAACACCAGUGGCGAAGGCGGCUGUCUGGUCUGCAACUGACGCUGAGGCUCGAAAGCAUGGGUAGCGAACAGGAUUAGAUACCCUGGUAGUCCAUGCCGUAAACGAUGAUUACUAAGUGUUGGAGGGUUUCCGCCCUUCAGUGCUGCAGCUAACGCAUUAAGUAAUCCGCCUGGGGAGUACGACCGCAAGGUUGAAACUCAAAAGAAUUGACGGGGGCCCGCACAAGCGGUGGAGCAUGUGGUUUAAUUCGAAGCUACGCGAAGAACCUUACCAGGUCUUGACAUCUUCUGACAGUCUAAGAGAUUAGAGGUUCCCUUCGGGGACAGAAUGACAGGUGGUGCAUGGUUGUCGUCAGCUCGUGUCGUGAGAUGUUGGGUUAAUUCCCGCAACGAGCGCAAC